rnacentral:rRNA from 1 species
UUUUUUUUUGGGAAGGCGUGGGGGUCCCCAGGCUGGCCACCCAUCGGAUUACAUUGGAAAGGGGCAGUCUGGUGCCAGCAGCCGCGGUAAUUCCAGCUCCAAAAGCGUAUAUUAAAGUUGUUGCAGUUAAAAAGCUCGUAGUUGAACCUUGGGCUUGGUUGGCCGGUCCAUCUUUCUGAUGCGUACUGGACCCAACCGAGCCUUUCCUUCUGGCUAGCCUUUUGGCGAACCAGGACUUUUACUUUGAAAAAAUUAGAGUGUUCAAAGCAGGCCUUUGCUCGAAUAUAUUAGCAUGGAAUAAUAGAAUAGGACGUUAUGGUUCUAUUUUGUUGGUUUCUAGGACCAUCGUAAUGAUUAAUAGGGACGGUCGGGGGUAUCAGUAUUCAGUUGUCAGAGGUGAAAUUCUUGGAUUUACUGAAGACUAACUACUGCGAAAGCAUUUACCAAGGACGUUUUCAUUAAUCAAGAACGAAAGUUAGGGGAUCGAAGAUGAUCUAGAUACCGUUCGAAAACACCG